GGAAGCAUAAUAGUUAAUAAUAGAAAGUAGCCGUCCAAGAAUGACUCCAGUAAGAGUAAAAAAGAAUUUGUUGAAAAGUCUACUCAAUUACUGAGUAAUUGAUCAAAUUAUUAAU